rnacentral:misc_RNA from 1 species
AAGUAAACCACACUAUGGCAAGGAAAAUUAGGAAAACAACAGAAUAACAGAUGCACAACAAGAGAAUAAAGUGGCAGCAACGGAAGCUCAUGGUAAGAUAGAGAAAUUAAUCCCAAAAGCUUGUUUUACCAAUAUCUUUUUUUUUUAUUCACUUCUUUACAGCCAAAUAAAGUAAUGAUCAAUCAUACCUAAUUCGAAAUGACAAAUCCAUCUACAAACACCAUAAUGCAGUAUCCAGAAUCCAGAUACUCAUGACUUAUCAAUUCCAUUUCAGUUCAGUUAGUUUUCAUUUGUAAAGAUAAAAAGAAAACUUCCCAGAACAGCAAAUUGAGAUAAGAACCCCUAAAGCGAAUUUCUGGCCCAUCCAACUGCAAUGAAUACUUAUAACCCAAUUAACCGAAAAUGAAAGAUCAAGAUCAGUCCAUUAACAGUGGGAUAGCUAAUCAAAGACAUACAAAGGCAUAUCAAGAACUACUACAUGAGUUCUAAACCACAA